UGUACCUGUGUCCUAAAGACAUUGCUCCUCACUUCCAGCUUUGCAAUGUGAUGCCUGGCAUGCAGCAUGUGAUACUGAAGGAGUUAAAGGUGGGACACAAAGACCAGUCAGUUCCAGCUUGAUCUACAGACUGGUCAGGACCUAUUGAGCAACAGAUAUAUUUGGACUUCCUGCUAAGCCCAGAGAAAACGCUUGGGACGCCAAGUUGGAUGGCAGCUCCUGCAAACCUGUGACAGAUGGGAGGGCUCUCAGAAACCACGCUAGCAGCUGGCAGCUUUAAAGAGCGGCCUUGACACC